CUCGUAGACGACGAGGUUGAUAGGCUGCAUGUGUAAGACCAGUAAUGGUUUGAGCUAAGCAGUACUAAUAAGCCAAAAACUUGAUCUU
rnacentral:rRNA from 1 species